AAAUAGAAGGACACGUAUCCCUUACUGUUCAAACAAAGUAUUAUUAAUCCUGAAUCGAGCCCAAUGGCCACCACGAUUCUAUAUAUAGUUGUUCUAGUUUCGAUUUCAGUUGAAAUUCAAGUGUUGAACUGUUCGUUCAAAAAAAUUACUAAAAUGUGACUGCAUGAGCUCUUUGUUGAUGUAUUUGAUAUACAAGGAUUACAUUCAACACACUGUAAAACAAGCAGAUACACAGUUCUCGCAGAAAAGUCACAAAAGUCUGAGGACUUACAUCAUCAAGCAUGACGGAGCAAAGAAGCAUGUCUAAAACAAGAUAUAGCGGAACCAUUUAUAAUUCAGAUAUUGACAUUUCCCCUGCAAGCACCUCCAAACCCGCACAAAAAUGCAUACACUCAAGAGUGUCACAGGCAUGAUAAGUGGCAAUCUUGACAUGGGCAAUGGGAGUGUGCGAGGCAGUAUGAGAAGUGGCAUAACAGUUCUACGUCAAGCACUACCACUACGCUGUGUUCUGUGUAUCCUUGGGUUGCUAUCCAGAGAAAGUUAGAAAAUGUCUGAAAACAAUU